AUACGGAGGGAGCGAGCGUUAAUCGGAAUUACUGGGCGUAAAGCGCGCGUAGGCGGCUUUGUCAGUCGGAUGUGAAAGCCCUGGGCUUAACCUGGGAAUGGCAUUCGAUACUGCAGAGCUAGAGUAUGGUAGAGGGAAGUGGAAUUUCCGGUGUAGCGGUGAAAUGCGUAGAUAUCGGAAGGAACACCAGUGGCGAAGGCGACUUCCUGGGCCAAUACUGACGCUGAGGUGCGAAAGCGUGGGGAGCAAACAGGAUUAGAUACCCCAGUAGUCC
rnacentral:rRNA from 1 species